GCAUAUCAAUAAGCGGAGGAAAAGAAAAUAACAAUGAUUCCCUUAGUAACGGCGAGUGAAGGGGGAAAAGCUCAAAUUUUAAAUCGGCGUAGGUUUUACCUAGUCGAGUUGUAAUUUGAAGAAGCGUUUUCUACGUCCUGGUCGGCCCAAAUCCUUUGGGAUAAGGUAUCAUGGAGGGUGAGAAUCCCGUCCGGUUGACCUCAGGAUGUUCUACGUGACGCUCUCUAAGAGUCGAGUUGUUUGGGAUUGCAGCUCAAAAUGGGAGGUAAAUUUCUCCUAAGGCUAAAUACAGGCGAGAGACCGAUAGCGAACAAGUACCGUGAGGGAAAGAUGAAAAGAACUUUGAAAAGAGAGUUAAACAGUACGUGAAAUUGUUGAAAGGGAAACGAUUGAAGCCAGUCGUACCGACGGGAAAUCAACUUCUGGAGCGCUUGUCGUGGGUAACUUUGAGCUUCGCGGCCUUUGUUGCUUUGCGUUAUGGUGCUUUUGGAGUGUACUUUUCCGUAUGGUAGGUCAAUAUCGAUUUUGAUCGUCAUAAAAUGAUCGGAGGAAUGUGGCUUCGAUCUCGUAUCGGAGUGUUAUAGCCUUUGGUAGAUGUGACGAUUGGGAUCGAGGAUGCAACGAAUACCCUUUGGGCUAUCCGUCUGACCUCUGGAAGUCGCUCGAGUGUCGAAAGCUUGCUCAUGGCAUUUUAGUUGGCGGUCAAAAGGUUAGAACGCGAUUACAUUCGUUAAGGAUGUUGACGUAAUGGCUUUAAACGAC
rnacentral:rRNA from 1 species